rnacentral:rRNA from 1 species
GAUGAACGCUGGCGGCGUGCUUAACACAUGCAAGUCGAACGAAGCACUUUAUUUGAUUUCCUUCGGGACUGAUUAUUUUGUGACUGAGUGGCGGACGGGUGAGUAACGCGUGGGUAACCUGCCUUGUACAGGGGGAUAACAGUUGGAAACGGCUGCUAAUACCGCAUAAGCGCACGGCAUCGCAUGAUGCAGUGUGAAAAACUCCGGUGGUAUAAGAUGGACCCGCGUUGGAUUAGCUAGUUGGUGAGGUAACGGCCCACCAAGGCGACGAUCCAUAGCCGACCUGAGAGGGUGACCGGCCACAUUGGGACUGAGACACGGCCCAAACUCCUACGGGAGGCAGCAGUGGGGAAUAUUGCACAAUGGGCGAAAGCCUGAUGCAGCGACGCCGCGUGAGCGAAGAAGUAUUUCGGUAUGUAAAGCUCUAUCAGCAGGGAAGAUAAUGACGGUACCUGACUAAGAAGCACCGGCU